GUAACGGAAGUAGCUUGCUACUAGACGACGACCGGCGCACGGGUGAGUAACGCGUAUGUAAUCUGCCUUGUACAGAGGGAUAGCCCAGAGAAAUUUGGAUUAAUACCUCAUAGUAUUACUGAGUCGCAUGAUUUGGUAAUUAAAGCUCCGGCGGUACAAGAUGAACAUGCGUGACAUUAGCUAGUUGGUAAGGUAACGGCUUACCAAGGCUACGAUGUCUAGGGGUUCUGAGAGGAUGAUCCCCCACACUGGUACUGAGACACGGACCAGACUCCUACGGGAGGCAGCAGUGAGGAAUAUUGGUCAAUGGACGCAAGUCUGAACCAGCCAUCCCGCGUGAAGGAUGACUGCCCUAUGGGUUGUAAACUUCUUUUAUAUGCAAAUAAACCUACUUUCGUGAAAGUAGCUGAAGGUAGCAUAUGAAUAAACACCGGCUAACUCCGUGCCAGCAGCCGCGGUAAUACGGAGGGUGUAAGCGUUAUCCGGAUUUAUUGGGUUUAAAGGGUACGUAGGCGGUAAUAUAAGUCAGUGGUGAAAUCCUGCAGCUCAACUGUA
rnacentral:rRNA from 1 species